GACGAACGCUGGCGGCGUGCUUAACACAUGCAAGUCGAGCGGUAAGUCCCUUCGGGGUACACGAACGGCAAACAGGUGGGUAACACGUGGGUAAUCUAACCAUCACUUCACGAUAACUGCGGGAAAGCGGUACUAAUACCGAAUAUAACCACUACAGGCAUCUGAUGAUUGUGGCAAGUUCCUGCGGUGAUGGAUGAGCUUGCGGCCUAACAGCUUGUAGGUGGGGUAUAGGCGUACCAAGGCGUGGACGGGUAGCCGGCCUGAGAGGGUGACCGGCCACACUGGGACUGAGACACGGCCCAGACUGCUACGGGAGGCAGCAGUGGGGAAUAGUGGACAAUGGGCGAAAGCCUGAUCCAGCAACGCCGCGUGAGGGAUGACGGUCUUCGGGGUGUAAACCUCGUUCAGCAGGGACGAAGCGCAAGUGACGGUACCUGCAGAAGAAGCACCGGCCAACUACGUG
rnacentral:rRNA from 1 species